CCUCCCUGGAGCUCUGGCUGCGUGCUGGCUCCCAGAAGAGGAACCUGCUGCAGGCGCCGGCGCGGGCGGCGAGGACGACCUGUUUUUCUGACCCAGCCCGGAAGCGCUGGUGCAGGUGCUACCGGAUCACCCUAACAACCCUCUGGGACCUGUGGCCAUGUGUUCACAACAGCAGCCAUUACAGGUGUUUCCUGAACUCUUGUCGCGAGCCUCUGUCGGCUCCAUCUCAUCGAUCCUCCCAGCAACCCACAAGGAAGCUUCACAGAGAGGCAGAUGCCACACAGGCCACCCACCCAGAUGCAGAGCCAGAUUCCCUGCGUGGACUGGACGGGAGUUUCCCAGCUGGAGUUCUCUCGGCCAAGCUGCCUGUGACAUGGGGUUGGAGGUGCUCCAGAGAGUCAUGGCCACCCCUGGAGGAAGUGACUUGUGGCUGACUGCUCAAGGGGAAGUCCUGUGGCAGUGGAGUCGUCAGCAUUAAUUCAAAUAAGAUCUCUCCCUGCACACAAUCUGCUUUCGUGUUCCUGAUGGAUUGAAUCAAGAGUGAAUGAGCUCCUACUUCGCGAAAGCAAAACAAACUAAACGCAUCAACCACGACCGCAGAGCCCCCAUCUCUCCCAGGAGGGUGAGCCCAUGUUGUGUUUUCAUUUGUCAGAAAUCUAUCUUAGGAAGCCAUUCCUGAGAUCUGUUCUAAUUUAGGCCAUUUUUAAAAAAAAUAAUGCAGUUGAUUCUUUUCCCGUGAUCUUUCUUUUCUCCAUGACUUAAAUUUCCCCAGGAACUAUUCAAAUGCCGCAUCUGGGGUUUUGUUUUUGUUUUUUGAUGAAGUCAUGACUUUCUUUAAACAGUAAUUAUUAAACAAACCAAAGGGAAACCUUCUGUGAGGAUGCUGUUUACAAAUAUCACCACUUUUACAAUCAGUAAUGGAGGUUGCAAAGUGCAGGAUUCUGAGUUCCAGUGAGUCUGGGGAGUUGCUUGAGUCUUCCAAUUGGUUCCUGCCUUGUCCAGAGGGUGGUUUCUCGCAUGGGAAAUGGUCUUCAAUGCCCUUCCCUCCUCCUCCUCUCUCCUAACUCGAUUUUUCCAGGGCUUUCAUGUUUCGCUCCCAUCGCAGGGUCGGGAAUGCCCUGUGCUUGGUGACCAUAGGGUGGUGAAGUCACCCUGCUCUGCUAGAAAAGGGACGAGUGCUGUGUUUUGGGUGGAUGACCAAGGGCUCACUAUCCCGGUGGCUCAUUUCCUGGGGGCCUGUGGGCUGCCGGGAGCACCCUGAGGAGGACAGAGUGGAGUUGCAGCUGCCCAUGCACUGCAGAGGGGACACGGGUGUUGUGCAGCAUCUCGGGAAGGGCGUGGCAGAUGUGGCAGGUGCAUGGCAGGGCCAUUCCAUUCUGUCUGUUGCGGGACCCUCCAUCCAGCUCAGGGCCGUGGAUUGAACAGAGAGACAG
rnacentral:lncRNA from 1 species